AAUGUAUUUUGGGGUUAAAUAUUUAAAUUUCUUUUGCAAUGAAGUUUUUGGCUUAUAGUGGCCGACCUUUUUU
rnacentral:tRNA from 1 species